AGUGGUGCCUGUGACCAACCCUUGUUUCAAGCAUUUGGUGUAUGCUUGACAAGGGGAUACCCGAACCUGGGUUAAAGAUAGUUGUAUCUUCGGGGCGAAGAUUUAAAAAAGGGAGGGAGCUCGAGGAAUGUAGCGGAACUGGACUGGGUCGAUCGUCGGCGACCAGGUAGCUCAAUUGGUAGAGCAUCCGUCCAGAGUUUGGAAGGUCCCGGGAACCCCGGUCUGGCCGUGCGUUUUCCCUCUACUGUUACAGAAUAAUACCAAUACAUGUAUUACUCAUUUGUAACGUGUUCCCAGACACUGUUCCCGGACGGACAAUUCUCGAGCAAUUUUCUAGUUUACAGGCAGGAUUUGAGCUCACCCAAUAACUGCAGACUUUACAGACAGGUUUUUAGCUCACCCAUUGACUACAGACUUUAUAGACAGGUUUAGACCUCACCCAUUCACUACAGACUUUAUACACAGGUUUCGACCUCACCCAUUCACUACAGACUUUAUAGACAGGUUUCGACCUCACCCAUUCACUACAGACUUUAUAAUCAGGUUUCGACCUCAUCCAUUCACUACAGACUUUAUACACAGGUUUCGACCUAACCCAUUCCCUACAGACUUUAUACACAGGUUUCGACCUAACCCAUUCCCUACAGACUUUAUACACAGGUUUCGACCUAACCCAUUCACUACAGACUUUAUAGACAGGUUUCGACCUCACCAAUUCACUACAGACUUUAUAGACAGGUUUCGACCUCAUCCAUUCACUACAGACUUUACAGACAGGUUUCGACCUCACCUAUUCACAACAGACUUUAUAGACAGGUUUCGACCUCACCC